ensembl:lncRNA
GAGGGUGUACUAGCAGCAGUACGAGGAGGAGUAGCAAGAGGAGAAGGAGUAGCAGCAACAGGAGCAGGAGUAACAGAAGGUGUACUAGCAGCAGUACUAGGAGGAGUAGCAAGAGGAGAAGGAGUAGCAGCAACAGGAGCAGGAGUAACAGAAGGUGAACUAGCAGCAGUACUAGGAGGAGUAGCAGGAGGAGGAUCAGCAGGAGGAGGAGCAGCAGGAGGAGGAGCAGAAGGAGCAACAGAAGGUGUACUAGCAGCAGUACUAGGAGUAGCAGGAGAAGGAGCAGCAGGAGAAGGAGUAGCAGCAACAGGAGCAGGAGUAACAGAAGGUGAACUAGCAGCAGUACUAGGAGGAGUAGCAGGAGAAGGAGGAGCAGAAAUAGGAGCAGGAGUAACAGACGGUGUACUAGCAGCAGUACUAGGAGGAGUAGCAGGAGGAGCAGCAACAGGAGUAUUGGUACUGGCUUUGGGAAUACCAGCAGGAAGAGCAGGAGCAGGUGUAGCAGCAGUUGCAGGAGUAGCAUUUGCAGAGAUUUUUCAAAAACUUACGCCGAAAUCUACAAAAGACUCAACACAUAGAUUGACGUUGUGGGGAUCCAUUUCUCUCCGGAGUCGGUUGGAUAGAAGAUCCUACAGCCACUGUCAAUUUGAAGGCAAACUGACAUAAUGCUUAGAUUUGUCCCCUGCAGUAAUCCUUGGCUAUUGCAGUGUUCCAUUAAAAAAAAGAGCAUCUGUGCCAUUAUUUCAACUUCUAACAACAAUAAUAUUUUGUCAUUUUGGAUUAUAUUGAUUGAGACAGUUUUAUAUCUUGUGUCAUUGCUGUUCUGCAAAAUAAAAA